rnacentral:rRNA from 1 species
CGGACGGGUGAGUAACACGUGGAUAACCUACCUAUAAGACUGGGAUAACUUCGGGAAACCGGAGCUAAUACCGGAUAAUAUAUUGAACCGCAUGGUUCAAUAGUGAAAGACGGUUUUGCUGUCACUUAUAGAUGGAUCCGCGUCGCAUUAGCUAGUUGGUAAGGUAACGGCUUACCAAGGCAACGAUGCGUAGCCGACCUGAGAGGGUGAUCGGCCACACUGGAACUGAGACACGGUCCAGACUCCUACGGGAGGCAGCAGCU